AUCAGGUGGAGCAGUUUCUUGCCCGCAUGUCGGGCUAUUUCGCUGGCCAUGGCACAGCGACGGCCCCCGCGCGCAGCGUCGGAACACUGGCCGGCAUGGUCCAGCGCGAGGCCAACGUGCUGGCCUAUAUCGACGGCUUCUGGCUGACCUUCGGUUUCGCGAUCAUAGGGCUUCUCGUGACCGCCCUGAUUACGAAAUCCCCGCCCGGGCCCUUCACACCCAAAGCCCGAUAGCGCCGUUCUCCGCCCGAAAU
rnacentral:misc_RNA from 1 species